AGUGUCAGAAGUUGUGCAACAUUUUUCAUUUUUCCCUCUUCCCCAUUGUGCUUUUGUAACUAUGACUCUGGAAGGGUGGGACACAGCAACUUACGCGCUUCCUCCCAGAGCUGCUACAAAGAGAAGUGUAUGUUCCUCAUUUCCAAAGAGGACAAGAGAAGAGCAAAUCAGCUUAGAUUGCAGCAAGGCAAAUCUGUGCUAGACUUUAAGGAGAACUUGCUGAUGGUGAUGCUGGUGAAGCACUGGAAUAGACAGACCACUUGGGAGGAGGAAUAGAGGCAAGGGGCUUCAGACAGAGGAAGUAAACCAGAAGGGACCAGAGGCAAGGGGCUCUCGGCUUCCGGGAUAUCACAAGAUGCUUCAUCAGAAGGAUCAGGAAGAGAGCAUAGAAUAAGCUGCCCACAGGAGGUAUUUCUUUUGCAAGUUGCAUAGUUACAUGUCUUUUCUACUGAAGCAUGAAGAUUUUUAUUCUAUA